rnacentral:ncRNA from 1 species
AUAAAGUUUGGGCAAACUUAUCGAAAGAUAAGGACGCAAAGCCAUGGGUCUAAAGAAUUUUCAAUGAUUGCCAGGUUGCUAUC